rnacentral:rRNA from 1 species
GAUGAACGCUAGCGAUAGGCCUAACACAUGCAAGUCGAGGGGCAUCACAUGAAGUAGCAAUACGGAUGGUGGCGACCGGCGCACGGGUGAGUAACACGUAUGCAACCUGCCUUCAACAAGGGGAUAACCCGUUGAAAGACGGACUAAUACCCUAUAACACAGGGGUCCCGCAUGGGAAUAUUUGUUAAAGGACAACCGGUUGAAGAUGGGCAUGCGUUCCAUUAGCUAGUUGGCGGGUAACGGCCCACCAAGGCAACGAUGGAUAGGGGAACUGAGAGGUUUAUCCCCCACACUGGUACUGAGACACGGACCAGACUCCUACGGGAGGCAGCAGUGAGGAAUAUUGGUCAAUGGACGAGAGUCUGAACCAGCCAAGUCGCGUGCAGGAAGAAUGUCCUAUGGAUUGUAAACUGCUUUUGCAGGGGAAUAAAGUGCCAUCACGUGUAUGUUUUGAUGUACCGUAUGAAUAAGGUCGGCUAACUCCGUGCC